ACAUAAACCUGACUGGACGAAAAUCCUUUUUGAGGUAUGAACGUUUAAAUAGCAUUACCUGCCACAAAAAGAUUGUAGGGAAGGCAGGACCAUAC
rnacentral:sRNA from 1 species